AGAAAAUACGAUUUAUUUGGAUUUUUUAGUUCUACAUGACAUUUUAACGGUCAGUGUCAUAAUACUGUUUGCUUUUACUGCAAUAAAAUACACAUAUUUGUAUUCAGCAAAGUCUCACGUGUAAAACAGUACCCCCUAUGUACAGGUUUUAUGGCGUUUUGGGGAGUUACAGGGUCAAAUAUAGCACGUUACAUUUGAAAUUGAAAUUCGCCAGAUUGGUUACGUUGCC